rnacentral:lncRNA from 1 species
AGAGAAUCACUUUAGAGUGAUUUACAUAUAGGGUCACUUUUUAGGCAAACAAUUCGGCCGGAGAGGUCCUUAGAUAAGUUAGUGGAGAUGAUACGGUCGAUUUGGACAAAGCUCAAAUUCAGUCUCUGUUGCUACAGUUGUUUGUCCGUGGGACACUGGUUCUCUGCUCGCCGCUUCGUCGUCAUCUCAUCUGGUCGUGACUCGCCGUAAUUGAGCAUCGUCAUCGUCAUCUGCUCCGAUCUUUUUAAGUUUUUAAAGUGAUUUAUAUAGAGAAUAUUACACCCUGGGUCAC